rnacentral:misc_RNA from 1 species
GAUGAAGAACGUAGUGAAAUGCGAUAAGUAAUGUGAAUUGCAGAAUUCAGUGAAUCAUCGAAUCUUUGAACGCACAUUGCGCCCCUUGGUAUUCCGAGGGGCAUGCCUGUUCGAGCGUCAUUAUAACCCCUCAAGCUCAGCUUGGUGUUGGGGCCUGCUGCACUGGCAGCCCUUAAAAUCAGUGGCGGCGCCAUCUGGCUCUAAGCGUAGUAAUUCUUCUCGCUAUGGAGUCCUGGUGGAUGCUUGCCAUCAACCCCCAAUUUUUCUAUGGUUGACCUCGUAUCAGGUAGGGAUACCCGCUGAACUUAAGCAUAUCAAUAAGCGGAGGA